UACAGAGGUCCCAAGCGUUGUUCGGAUUCACUGGGCGUAAAGGGUGCGCAGGUGGUUUGGCAAGUUUGACGUGAAAGCCCCGGGCUUAACCCAGGAAUGGCGUUGAAAACUGCUUGAACUGGAGGAUUGGAGGGGGGACUGGAAUUCUUGGUGUAGCAGUGAAAUGCGUAGAUAUCAAGAGGAACACCAGUGGCGAAGGCGAGUCCCUGGACAAUUCCUGACACUGAGGCACGAAAGCCAAGGGAGCAAACAGG
rnacentral:rRNA from 1 species